rnacentral:rRNA from 1 species
GUCUACGGCCAUACCACCUUGAAUGCGCCUGAUCUCGUCUGAUCUCAGAAGCUAAGCAGGGUCGGGCCUGGUUAGUACUUGGAUGGGAGAAAUGAGAGCUUUGCUCAUGGCUGGGGGCA